UACGUAGGGGGCAAGCGUUGUCCGGAUUUAUUGGAGCGUAAAGAGCGUGUAGGCGGCCAAGCAGGUCCGCUGUGAAAACUCGAGGCUCAACCUCGAGACGUCGGUGGAAACCGUUUGGCUAGAGUCCGGAAGAGGAGAGUGGAAUUCCCGGUGUAGCGGUGAAAUGCGCAGAUAUCGGGAAGAACACCCGUGGCGAAGGCGGCUCUCUGGGACGGUACUGACGCUGAGACGCGAAAGCGUGGGGAGCGAACAGG
rnacentral:rRNA from 1 species